ACGAACGCUGGCGGCGUGCUUAACACAUGCAAGUCGAACGGAAAGGCCCCUUUGGGGGUACUCGAGUGGCGAACGGGUGAGUAACACGUGAGUAACCUGCCCUUGACUUCGGGAUAACUUCAGGAAACUGGGGCUAAUACCGGAUAGGAAUCCUUGCUGCAUGGUGGGGGUUGGAAAGCUUCGGCGGUUUUGGAUGGACUCGCGGCUUAUCAGCUUGUUGGUGGGGUAGUGGCUUACCAAGGCUUUGACGGGUAGCCGGCCUGAGAGGGCGACCGGCCACAUUGGGACUGAGAUACGGCCCAGACUCCUACGGGAGGCAGCAGUGGGGAAUAUUGCACAAUGGGCGGAAGCCUGAUGCAGCAACGCCGCGUGCGGGAUGACGGCCUUCGGGUUGUAAACCGCUUUCAGCAGGGGCGAAGCUUGUGGUGACGGUACCUGCAGAAGAAGCACCGGUUAACUACGUG
rnacentral:rRNA from 1 species